CUUGCGGUCACAUCACGUUGAAACACUGGUGCCAGUACGAUCACCGAAGUUAAGCAAUGUCGAGCCAGGUCAAUACCUAGAUGAGUGACCAAUUCGGAAUACUUGGUGCUGUAA